CAGAAUAUGUGAUGAUCUCACCACAACUUGAACUCUCUCACUGAUGAUUACUUGAUGAUAGUAAAAGAUCUGAUAUUCUG